GUGCUUGGUUAGUACCAGUUGGUGCACUUGCCCCCUUUUCCCCCCUCUGAGUCCCUGUAGUGCUCCUCCCUACCUGGGGAUGGGCAAGGGACUUUCUAUAGUCCUUCUUCUUGAGCCCUCUCUGAGUCCCACCCCUCUCUGGAGCUUUGGCAGCCCUCCCUCCCUUACCCCCACCGCACGCCCUGGCAGGAUGAGCUCAUGCAGCGGGAGAGGGGGUGGGCACACCGCUCAGUGGCUCAGUGGGUAGAAUUUGGAAAGGCUGCUUGGAGUGUGCGCGUGGGAAGCUCACAGGGAAUGCCAGGGCCGCUGGGGGACAGACGUGCUCUGGAGGCUUGCCAGCAGCAACUGGCAGACCUGGGGUUUCCCCCAAGAAAAGGCAGCUGAGUCCUUGCAUCUUGUGGCAGCUGGUGUGCCCAGCACUGAGUCCAUCGGAGCUGAAGGCAGCCCGGCCCCUUCUCAUGGGCAGCACCCACCUGUGCUGAGGUCCUGCAGCGGUGGCGGUGUGAGGUGAGUAAUGGAUUCCAGGGCAGGGAGUUAGAGAUCUCCAAAUCCAGGUAAAUGCCACCUUUCCACCAGAGCUCUUGAUAUGAAAGGCCCUGCCUGGGCCUCACCAGCCAGGCCUCAGGGCACAGUCUCUCUUUUCUGGAGGAUUGUGCCCAGUAUAGCUGCCCUGGGUCUCUUGGUUCCCCAGUCUCUAAUAUGGGAAUGACAGCCUUGACCUACAUCCUGGAGUGAGUAGGAGAAAGCACCUAAAAGUCAUUGCCAAGUCCUUUGCAGAUGUCAAGCUCCAUCUAAGAGCUUCAGUGUAACACAGACAUGCUUUCCAUCAAGAUGUCAUUUCCUUUCCUCUGGCUUUCCUGAUGUUGAAGUGGCAUUUCAGCCACAUGCCACCAAUUCGCCAGUUGGUUCCUAUAAUUUCUACUGCCUCAUAACCUGAAUUUUACCUUCGUAUUCAAAGUGUACCCCCACCCCGUCCAUCCCAGCUUCUGGGCCUGGUAGCCUUAAGUUAAACCUUCUAAGCCUUUCCUCUGCCUUCCCACCCAACCAGGGAGCAUUUCCUCCC
rnacentral:lncRNA from 1 species